rnacentral:lncRNA from 1 species
CCGUUGCGAGCUCACCAAUUUUCCGUGGUACGUAAAUGUACCACCAAUUCCUGACUCAAUCUUACCUUGUAACCCUAUUUUCCUUCAAGAAAAGGAUUUCACAAAAAAUGAUAGAAAAAGUAUUUCAUUAAAAGCUGCAACUAUCAAAGCUGCUAUUCCCAGGUUCUUUACACCAGAUGAGGUCCAAACAAUCUAUCAAGGAAAGAAUCGUGGAGAUGGACUUGAGAUUAAUUUUUGGAUCAUUACUCCGGAUAAUCAGGUUAGUGUAGGAAAUGGAAGGUUGAAGGUUGACAGGAUGCGCACAUGUGUUAUUGAGAACUGGUACGAUUCGCAAGAGGAUCACACAAAAAUGUUCUUGGAUAAGCUGUUGACAAAAGCAAAAGGCAAGGGGGUGGCGUCCGUCUUCGAAUGCUUCAAGUCGAGGGAUGUGGAUGUGGAUGAGAGCAAAAGGUAUCUGUGGUUCUUUUAUGAUGCCAGUGUCCCCACAUUCGUUCUAUCUACUGAGGUAAUUACACAUUUAAUGUUUAAAUAACUAAAUAGAUGUGAUUAGUUUUAACCAUCAUGAUCACUGAUUAGCAUACAAAAAUACCAUUUUACAUUUCAAUUUGAGUGCAUGUAUGAUGAGAGGUUCAUGCUAGAUUACAAUCAUGCAUGUAAUAAGAACUGACAUGAAUAGUAUACUUUGAUAUCAUCCCAUUUACUUCAAUUUUUUUCUUAAUUAGCUUUUAACUUUUGUUUGGGGUACUACGAACAUAAAUACCCAGCCCCAAGGCACUUGUCAAAUCAAAGGGUUUCAAGUGGUACAAACUGUCACCAAUGCUUCCUCAAACACCAUCAUCUAAAUUUGUGAGGUUGCCUAGAAAAGUAAUCUUUCUUAGAGGAAAAAAUAAAGAGUUUACCUAAUGGGUGAUGUGCACACACACAUACAUGCAUACAACAUCUACACAGAAGGGAAGCGGUAUUACUAGUAUUAUGUGCAUCUGUAUACUUACUUUGAGCUAUCAUAUAUACGGAAAGCAAAUAGACCAUAAACAGAGAAACAAAGUGCUAUACAGAAAAUGGAAGUGGUAUAAUGUCUAUUCUAUUCUUGUAGUUGCUUUGGUAUAUACAGAAUGGUCAUAGAGUUUGAUCAAUUACCUAUAAAGCACCCCAUAGAUCUCCAGCUCCAGCUUAAGAAGGUUGGUGAACACGUCAAUAGCCCAUCCAAAGAACUGUAACGACAAAAUCCACGCUUCACAAUACUCCAGCUGUCUACCGUGCACACACUAGAACAUGAAACAGAGACAGAAGAUGCAAGUGCAAACUGUUUUAGAAAUUAAACAAACAUUUUACUCUAGUAACUCAUGUCAACGAUAUCCUUAUAGCACAAGUUAAAAUAGCAUUUAGAUAAUUUCUGUUUUUCGUAUUCUAUGUGUCUUUCUCCAACUCUGAUCUCACAUUAUCAUGGAAUUAAUUUUAUGGUAAUGGCUUCUAUAGAUUAGAUUUUACUUAUUGUUGUGUCAGUAUAUAUAAUUAUGACACUCAUUACAUUACUGAGCUAUAUAUUUUAAUAACUUGGCUAUCACAUUUCUUUUCUUUUAAUAUUGUCGCAUUAGUCUAUCUCGACUUACCCUAGCAACUCUUACUGAUAUUGUUUAAUUGCUUAAACAUGUGGCUGACGUUGGCAUUUAUCUUUUCUUUUCAGGAGAACAGCAGCGUUUUAUCAGAUCCUCUUGACCCCAAAUUCAAAGAUUCGCGUUUUAUCGGAUCAAAUAUAUAGUAAUAGGACUCAUUUUUAUCCUGGCGCCUUUUCAGGCUAUGAUGGUUUUGAUUACUUUUAUUGUAUCCUUACUCUUAAUUCCAAACAAUAGGUUUUUAUUUAGCUUUCCAUUUUAAUAAAAUUUCUCUUUUUUAUUUUAAUUGGCAAGCGAGUGUGAGGGGACCCGACCCUUUUAAAUUACGUUAGGAAACUUUUUAUCAAACAAUCAGGUGUUGUGUGUUUCGAACCCAAACCUCUCCCCUUUGUGAGACGGAUGCAUCUGCUGAGCCACAGGCUCAUACACUAGAAUUUGUCUUUUUACCUCCUUUGUGCUUCUGAGUUCUGACUGCUAAGAUUCUAAUGUGUGGGUUUCUAGUUAAGCAUAAUAAAUCUGCAUGGUAAUCACUUUGGCACGGACAGGGUAAUAGCACAUUGGCAACAACAAGUCAUACUAAGAGACAACAACUAAACUGAUGAUGAAACAUUUCAACAACUUUACAAACCACGGUGUUCAGGACGAGAUAAAAGGGCUAAAUUCGGAGAUGUGGACCCUCUCUGUGACAAAAAUAAAAGGUAGGGGAGAAGUACAAGCUUCAAACUUCUUUCCAGUUAAAAAUACAACAAAUAUAUUUUGCUAUUUGCUCAUGUUUUAUCAUGCUGACUUCGAAAUACAAAUGGAGAGGAGUCGGCAAGGGAUUGCCUUGAUAAUGAGUACAUCAUUAUAGUUAGACAGAAAUUGCCUUGACGAUGCCUACAUCACAACUAAAUAAUGUGUAAGGAGGUGAGCCACACAUUUGCAAAGUACUGGGUAAAAUGGAAGGAAAUGCAGGAGAGUGAGGGUAACUUAGACCUGUUCAAUCACUCUGGCAUCAAGGACAAGAUACCAAAAUUUCAAUAAGACAAGAAGGAUGUUUGGUCAGUAGAUGGAAAAAAUACUGUAGUAGGAACUGCUGAUUUUGACCAAGCGAACUUCUCAAUUGAAAUAUCGGGGACUAUGAAUGCACAUAUAUAGAUUCAUCUCAAAUGUACAAAUUAAGACCUUGAGGAUUCUCAAAUGAACAAAAGUUAUGAGAGAAAUCAGAACUCUGAAAUAGGCGGCUAGCUCAUUCUAAACACAAUAAGCCAAUGACCAUGACCGAAUGGUGAGAAUCAAGGCAAGCUAUACAAUAGUGGACGCUAAAUACAAUUUCCAUAUAAAUUUAACUUGAUGAACACCAAAAUCGAGCUGAAAUAUACUCUGUUAUUCACCUAAGACCUUGUGUCUAACCUCCCAAUCUCAAUCCUAAUAUAUUGAUGAAUUAUAAUGAAAGUAAGGUGUGUAAUUUGUAUCUUUUUUCUUAUUAAUAUAUUGAUUGUUUACCUUUCAAAAAAAAUCAUCCUUGGUUCUAUCAAGGAAACUUUAGAUAGACAUAGCAAGAGAACCAAAACCACCCUUAAAAUUGAAUCCUCAGAAAUAAUUUGUUGCAGGGAUAUUAUUAUUAUUAUUAUUAUUAUAUAAAGCAUAAUAGAACAAAACAAUUAUUAAUAAUUGGAUUAUAAAAAAAGUACCAGGAACAGGAACAGGAAAACCAGAUGAUGAUCAACAAGAUAGCUCUAACGCAAAUCCCUGGCAAAAUCGUAUGAUGAUUAAGAUAGAUAGAAUUCACAAGAAUGUUAAAAACAAAUUUCAAACACGCAAUUGAAGAUUAUAAUUCAAUUCAAACCACCUAUACAUAGAUCUACAUGAUUAUUGGCACUAGGACAUUCUUUCAAGUUGCAAGUUGCAAUAAACCAUGUUUAGUUUUUAAGGAUUUGCAGAUGAGAGACUUUUGAGAGAUAAGAAGAAAAGAACAAAUGAUGAUGAGAAAAUAUCAAGAAUCAUA